rnacentral:rRNA from 1 species
UACGAGGGCCCCGAGCGUUGUCCGGAUUUAUUGGGCGUAAAGCGUCCGCAGGCUGUUUAGAACAUCUCCUGUUAAAUCCUGAGGCCUAACCUCAGGACCGCGAGAGAUAUGGCUAAACUAGAGGCCGGAAGAGGUAAGCGGAAUUGUUGGUGUAGGGGUUAAAUCCGUUAAUAUCAACAGGAACACCAAAUGCGAAGGCAGCUUACUAGUACGAGCCUGACGCUCAUGGACGAAAGCGUGGGUAGCGAAUGGG